rnacentral:rRNA from 1 species
GAUCAUUAAUGGGUACCGCGCUCCGGCGCAAUCCCCCACCCUUUGCAACCGCGGCCAGGCUUCGGCGCCUGGCGGGGGAACCCCCCGCUUUUGCGGGGCCCCGCCUGCCGGAAUUCGCCAACACUGCCUUGAAAACUGAAGUCUGAGAACAAGCCAAAUGAACAAAAACUUUCAACAACGGAUCUCUUGGUUCUGGCAACGAUGAAGAACGCAGCGAAAUGCGAUAAGUAAUGUGAAUUGCAGAAUUCAGUGAAUCAUCGAAUCUUUGAACGCACAUUGCGCCCCCUGGUAUUCCGGGGGGCACACCUGUUCGAGCGCCAUUUCAACCCUGGAGCCCAGCUCUGUGAUGGGCCCCGUCCUCGCGGACGGGCCCGAAACCCGUGGGCGCCGUCGUCCGGCCCUGAGCGUAGCAAGAGAAAUCCCUCGCUCGGAGCGCCGGCCGCCGGCCGCCCGGAAACCUACCACCACAAGGUUGGCCUCGGAUCAGGUGGGGAUACCCGCUGAACUUAAGCAUAUCAAUAAGCGGAGGAAAAGAAACCAACAGGGAUUGCCUCAGUAACGGCGAGUGAAGCGGCAACAGCUCAAAUUUGAAAUCUGGCUCGCGCCCGAGUUGUAAUUUGUAGAGGAUGUUUCGGGUGAAGCCACGGUCCAAGUCCCUUGGAACAGGACGUCAGAGAGGGUGAGAACCCCGUACCUGGCCGUCGGUGCCCCCCGCUGUGAAACUCCUUCGACGAGUCGAGUUGUUUGGGAAUGCAGCUCUAAAUUGGUGGUAAAUUCCAUCUAAAGCUAAAUACCGGCCAGAGACCGAUAGCGCACAAGUAGAGUGAUCGAAAGAUGAAAAGCACUUUGAAAAGAGAGUUAAAAAGUACGUGAAAUUGUUGAAAGGGAAGCGCUUGCGGCCAGACUUGCCCGCGGUGGCUCAGCCCGCCUUUUGGCGGGUGCACUCCUCCGCGGUCAGGCCAGCAUCGGUUUGGGCGGUCGGAUAAAGGCGCCGGGAACGUAGCCUCCCCUCGGGGAGGUGUUAUAGCCCGGUGCGCAAUGCGGCCAGCCCGGACCGAGGUUCGC